UACGUAGGUGGCAAGCGUUAUCCGGAAUUAUUGGGCGUAAAGAGCGCGCAGGUGGUUGAUUAAGUCUGAUGUGAAAGCCCACGGCUUAACCGUGGAGGGUCAUUGGAAACUGGUCGACUUGAGUGCAGAAGAGGGAAGUGGAAUUCCAUGUGUAGCGGUUAAAUGCGUAGAGAUAUGGAGGAACACCAGUGGCGAAGGCGGCUUCCUGGUCUGUAACUGACACUGAGGCGCGAAAGCGUGGGGAGCAAACAGGAUUAGAUACCCU
rnacentral:rRNA from 1 species